rnacentral:rRNA from 1 species
AGUGAACGCUGGCGGCAGGCCUAACACAUGCAAGUCGAACGGCAGCACAGUAAGAGCUUGCUCUUACGGGUGGCGAGUGGCGGACGGGUGAGGAAUACAUCGGAACCUACUUUUUCGUGGGGGAUAACGUGGCGAAACUUACGCUAAUACCGCAUACGACCUACGGGUGAAAGCAGGGGAUCUUCGGACCUUGCGCGAUUGAAUGAGCCGAUGUCGGACUAGCUAGUUGGCGGGGUAAAGGCCCACCAAGGCGAGGAUCCGUAGCUGGUCUGAGAGGAUGAUCAGCCACACUGGAAGUGAGACACGGUCCAGACUCCUACGGGAGGCAGCAGUGGGGAAUAUUGGACAGUGGGGGCAAGCAUGAUCCAGCCAUACCGAGUGGGUGAAGAAGGCCUUCGGGUUGUGAAGCCCUUUUGUUGGGAAAGAAAAGCAGCAGGUUAAUACCCCGCUGUUCUGACGGUACCCAAAGAAUAAGCACCGGCUAACUUCGUG